UACGUAGGGUGCAAGCGUUAAUCGGAAUUACUGGGCGUAAAGCGUGCGCAGGCGGCUUUGCAAGACAGAUGUGAAAUCCCCGGGCUUAACCUGGGAACUGCAUUUGUGACUGCAUGGCUGGAGUGCGGCAGAGGGGGAUGGAAUUCCGCGUGUAGCAGUGAAAUGCGUAGAUAUCGAGAGGAACACCUGCGGCGAAGGCGGGUAGCUGGGCCGACACUGACGCUGAUGCGCGAAAGCCAGGGGAGCGAACGGG
rnacentral:rRNA from 1 species